rnacentral:rRNA from 1 species
GAUGAACGCUGGCGGUAUGCUUAACACAUGCAAGUCGAACGAAGCCUUUCGGGGCUUAGUGGCGGACGGGUGAGUAACGCGUGAGAAUCUGCCAUCAGGUCUGGGACAACCACUGGAAACGGUGGCUAAUACUGGAUGUGCCCUUCGGGGUGAAAGGUUAACUGCCUGUUGAUGAGCUCGCGUCUGAUUAGCUAGUAGGUGUGGUAAAGGCGCACCUAGGCGACGAUCAGUAGCUGGUCUGAGAGGACGAUCAGCCACACUGGGACUGAGACACGGCCCAGACUCCUACGGGAGGCAGCAGUGGGGAAUUUUCCGCAAUGGGCGAAAGCCUGACGGAGCACUACCGCGUGAGGGAGGAAGGCUCUUGGGUCGUAAACCUCUUUUCUCAGGGAAGAACACAAUGACGGUACCUGAGGAAUAAGCAUCGGCUAACUCCGUGCCAGCAGCCGCGGUAAUACGGAGGAUGCAAGCGUUAUCCGGAAUGAUUGGGCGUAAAGCGUCCGCAGGUGGCGAUGUAAGUCUGCUGUUAAAGAGUCUAGCUCAACUAGAUAAGAGCAGUGGAAACUACAUAGCUAGAGUACGUUCGGGGCAGAGGGAAUUCCUGGUGUAGCGGUGAAAUGCGUAGAGAUCAGGAAGAACACCAGUGGCGAAGGCGCUCUGCUAGGCCGUAACUGACACUGAGGGACGAAAGCUAGGGGAGCGAAUGGGAUUAGAUACCCCAGUAGUCCUAGCCGUAAACGAUGGAUACUAGGCGUGGCUUG